rnacentral:ncRNA from 2 species
UGGAGUUUGGAUCUCCGAUUCUUGCAACCUAAAGCUUAGGCUAUGGUUUCCGGAACGACAGGGUAAGGGUGGAAACGCGCUUGCCUUUCGAUCCCCGCCAGCGCGGCGGGGUGAAUUACAAAGGAGAAAAGAAUUUGAAGCA